rnacentral:rRNA from 1 species
GACGAACCGUGCGAACGUUGUUCGGAAUCACUGGGCUUAAAGGGCGCGUAGGCGGGCGGUCAAGUCGGUGGUGAAAGCCUUCAGCUUAACUGGAGAAGUGCCGCCGAUACUGACUGCCUCGAGGGAGGUAGGGGCAUGUGGAACUCAGGGUGGAGCGGUGAAAUGCGUAGAUAUUGGGAGGAACACCAGUGGCGAAGGCGGCUACCUGGACCGGUUCUGACGCUGAUGCGCGAAAGCGUGGGUAGCAAACAGG